UUCUCCCUUUUAUCGUGUUUGCUACUGUUCGUUUUGUCUUCUAUUUCUGAUCAUCUCCAUCCAUAAAGAAAAGCCAAUUUGCAGAGCGGAAGCGCCUUGUUCCUGAUGGCGAUUUCUGCAUUGAAGGUUGGCGAGAUCGAGCUGAUGGCAGUUCUCCGUGCCACUCAAAUGCCCCUUUUUGAUGAUGGCCUCGAACAAGCUGCUACAUUUCUAUUUUCUUAUGGUUUUCUUUCAUCU